GCAAAGAAAAUCCUGGGAACAAUAGACCAGUAAGCCUAACAUCUGUGGUGGGUUGAUUUUCCUAUUUCAAUAAAAGGUAUGGAGCUCUAUGAAAAUUGGACCUCUGCAGUUUUGAGCAACUGGUUAACCCGCAUUGGAACCCAUCAGAUUGCUGACAUGCUCAUAAGUGAAGAUAAAUCCCUUAUCCCAGGAAUGAGUCAAGUGAACUUUCUCUGAACUGAUUCGAACACAUGUGGACUGUAAUGCGCUCUCAUCAAUGCCCUGUACAAUUGUAACAAGACUUCCCUACUUUUGUACUCAAUUCCUUUUCCAAUAAAAAAUGAACAAAUGA